UGUCAUCGCUGAAUUAGGGAUCGGCGAAUGAUGUAUCUUCAACUUAACUUUUAGGAGUUAUUUAUAUGUCUCUAAGUACAGAAAAAAAAGCAGCAAUCGUUGCUGAAUUUGGUCGUGAUGCA
rfam:Rodentibacter heylii strain 1998236014 contig_18, whole genome shotgun sequence.